GACGAACGCUGGCGGCGUGCCUAAUACAUGCAAGUCGAGCGAGCUUGCCUAGAUGAAUUUGGUGCUUGCACCAAAUGAAACUAGAUACAAGCGAGCGGCGGACGGGUGAGUAACACGUGGGUAACCUGCCCAAGAGACUGGGAUAACACCUGGAAACAGAUGCUAAUACCGGAUAACAACACUAGACGCAUGUCUAGAGUUUAAAAGAUGGUUCUGCUGUCACUCUUGGAUGGACCUGCGGUGCAUUAGCUAGUUGGUAAGGCAACGGCUUACCAAGGCAAUGAUGCAUAGCCGAGUUGAGAGACUGAUCGGCCACAUUGGGACUGAGACACGGCCCAAACUCCUACGGGAGGCAGCAGUAGGGAAUCUUCCACAAUGGACGCAAGUCUGAUGGAGCAACGCCGCGUGAGUGAAGAAGGGUUUCGGCUCGUAAAGCUCUGUUGGUAGUGAAGAAAGAUAGAGGUAGUAACUGGCCUUUAUUUGACGGUAAUUACUUAGAAAGUCACGGCUAACUACGUG
rnacentral:rRNA from 1 species